GACGAACGCUGGCGGCGUGCCUAAUACAUGCAAGUAGAACGCAGUGGCGAACGGGUGAGUAACGCGUAGGUAACUGCCUCGUAGCGGGGGAUAACUAUUGGAAACGAUAGCUAAUACCGCCUACUGUGAGAUGGACCUGCGUUGUAUUAGAUAGUUGGUGAGGUAAAGGCUCACCAAGGCGACGAGACAUAGCCGAACUGAGAGGGUGAUUGGGCACAAUGGGACUGAGACACGGCCCAGACUUCUACGGGAGGCAGCAGUAGGGGAUCUUUGGCAAUGGACGGAAGUCUGAACGAGCAACGCCGCGUGAGUGAAGAAGGUCUUAGGGUCGUAAAGCUCUGUUGUUAGAGAAGCGGUAACUACCGAGAAAGGGACGGCUAACUACGUGCCAGCAGCCGCGGUAAUAC
rnacentral:rRNA from 1 species